UCUGAUUACACGCAUCCACUAGCUCCUGUCCCUCACCCUUUUCUUCUGGAAUGGUGACAAAUUCUUCUGCAAUUUGAGCUUUCAGGCAGUCCCACUGGCAGACCAUCUUGAUGCAGUGUGCAACAUCAACCCUAACAAAACAAGUUGCACCUGCACGAAUCCAUUCUGUCAGCCACUGUGUGAUAGCAUGAACAUCAUGUCUCUCCGACAACAUUUGCCCCACUGGGACACUUGAGCUGUUAAGCCCUGUCAGAAC